UGGGUGACAAGAGUUGCAAAUGAGCUUCCUGUUCUGAUAUGCCUGUAUUUACUGUACUAAUGCUCAUUUUCAGUAGCAUUGCUGGGUAACUGGGCACUAAAUUUUCUACUCCUCAUCUAGUGAACUGAUCUACCUUUACCUACUGACAAGCUGCUACCUUGCACUGGUAAAAGGAGAAGCAUGCACAACUUUACUCUUCCCCUAUCACCUUCUUUCAUCUUUCUUGUAAUGACAAAUAGUGGUUGCACAUGAGCAAAGGGCAAAAGUGACACAGAUGUGCUGAAGUAAGCAAAACCCAGUGUACUGUCCCAUCAGAAAGGUUAACGGCAAAAAGAAGCAAGACAUCUAAACUCAUGACAUGUUAAAAUGCUGCUUUAAAAAAGGUUAAUGGUUAUAGCUCCCAGUGCUUGCUUAAAGAACAAACUGCGUUGAGACUCAGCCAACCAAGUGGGAAGGAUAUAAAAGGAAAGAGCAAUGACUUGAAUCAAAGAUUACAAAUUCCACCCUUAACACAGCAGAUACCAAAGGUUUAUAGCUUUGUUAUGCAUACAAUACUACAUACCAUUAUUUUAUAUUGCUUGUAAGGAAAAUUAUUUGAUCAGUAGAUUAGGGAAAUUGUUCACAUUUUUAUUUCGGGUCCAUUCUUGUGGCAUAAACAAAAUGACAAGACACUAAUUUGUAAAGGAAUUUCAUGGUGUCUGGAUUAGUAUUUGUAAUAUAAACUGGCUCUAGCCCUCUAACUCAGAAGAAAAGGUGGCAAGUAAUUACCUGGCAGUUACUGUAUUUGCUUUUUACCUUGGCAUUCCCUAACGGUGAGUAUGUUAUUUCAUUUUGAAAGAACCAAUUCAAUAUGUUAACAGUAGUUAAAAAUAUGUAACAUCAUGCCUAUAUCUCAUUAGCCAUCCAUAGUAUUUUUAUUGUAACCAUCGUUAACAAGUUAACAAACAAGAUAUAAUGAAACAUGCCACAGGAAGCUACUUAAUAUCAUUUACCUUAUAGAAACAGUGUCUAAUUUCAGGUCAAGUUAAAUUGUAUUGAAUACCUGUGGAAUAUACUGGAAUUGACUUAAAACAGAGGGGUAACCUAUUGGAAUUAGGUAGGGUGCUCUGUGUAAAGUACCUGAUGCUCUUACACGUCUCAUUCCAUUUAUUUCUUGCACAAUUCAGGAUUUGUAGCAUCAGUCACGUCCACAGUACUAAAAAUAAAUGGUGAAAACUUUGGCAAGAAAAAAUGACCAAUAUCAAGACAGAAUGAUAAACAUUGGCCCAGAAUACUGAAGGUUCCAUAAGAUUUAUACUGGCUUUUGCAUGAGGGUGAAUGCUUUACUGAAAGUGGAAAAUAGCCAAGCACAUCAUUGCACAGAAGGCAGAGAGGAUGGUGGUGAGCUACUGCCUGGGGAACUGAGAGGACUAGAUCACUCCACUCUGGGGGAAAAGGAAGCCAGGGCACAUGUUGUCCUUAAAAAGGGCUUCAUUAUUUCUUUACAUCCUCAUAGGCCUAUUUCAUCAUGAGUUCUCUUAUCUCAUCAGCAAGUCCAGAGACUUUUAGGGAGGUCUG